CCCUUAGAUGUCCGGGGCCGCACGCGCGCUACACUGAAGGAAUCAGCGUGGCUUUCUCCCUGACCCGAAAGGAUUGGGAAACCCGUUGAAUCUCCUUCGUGAUAGGGAUUGGGGCUUGAAAUUGUUCCCCAUGAACGAGGAAUUCCCAGUAAGCGCGAGUCAUAAGCUCGCGUUGAUUACGUCCCUGCCCUUUGUACACACCGCCCGUCGCUACUACCGAUUGAACGGUUUAGUGAGGGCCUCGGAUUGGUCUCGGCCCGCUCUUUACCGGGCGGCGCCGUUGGUCGAGAAGACGCUCGAACUUGAUCGUUUAGAGGAAGUAAAAGUCGUAACA
rnacentral:rRNA from 1 species